rnacentral:rRNA from 1 species
AGCUCCAAUAGCGUAUAUUAAAGUUGUUGCGGUUAAAAAGCUCGUAGUUGGAUUUCUGUUGAGGACAGUCGGUCCGCUCUUUGAGCGUGCAUCUAACUUGUCUUCGGCAUCCUCGCGACUGUUAAAACUGUGCUUGAUUGCACGGUUUGGAGUUCGCGACUUUUACUUUGAGGAAAUUAGAGUGUUCACUGCAGGCUAGCGCCAUGAAUACAUUAGCAUGGAAUAAUAAUACAGGGCUUUGGUCCUAUUUUGUUGGUUUCUAGGACUAGAGCAAUGAUUAAUAGGGAUAGUUGGGGGUAUUUGUAUUAACGCGUCAGAGGUGGAAUUCUUGGAUUGCGUUACGACAAACAACUGCGAAAGCAUUUACCAAGGAUGUUUUCA